CCUGGCGUGGAAGCUCGUUUGAAGAUUAUCCAUUGAAGAAAUCUGAUUUCAUGAGGAACUUGGCCGAAGGUCGGUCGGUGGUGGACUUUGAAUGGCGUUAGGGAGGCUCGUCUACUGGAGGAGUAUGGGGGAUCUGAAGGCGAUCGGCCGUUAUAGAAAUCCAGCUGCUGGAGCCCGCCCGUUGUGAAAGCUCGUCCGGGAUCCAUCUGCUGUGGAAGCUCGGACGGAGUUCGAUUCUUGUGGGAGGCCGAAAGGAGGCUGCUUAUUGUUGAAGCUCGGUUGAAGAUCGAUUGUCAUGGGAGCUCGAAGUAACGACCUGGCCGGUGGAUCCUGCCCCCUGGUAGAAGCUCGUCUGGGAUCUGGCUACGAAGAAGCUCGGCUGAAGUCUACCUAUAAUAAAAGUUCGAAAGAAAUCUGUUUACAAUAGAGGCCCAAAUGAAAUUUGCUUACAGUAGAGAUCUGGGGUAGAUUGCCCGCUGUAGGGGUUCGGAGUAGACAGCUCGUAGCAGG
rnacentral:lncRNA from 1 species